rnacentral:rRNA from 1 species
GUGGGGAAUAUUGCACAAUGGGGGAAACCCUGAUGCAGCCAUGCCGCGUGUGUGAAGAAGGCCUUCGGGUUGUAAAGCACUUUCAGUAGGGAGGAAAGGGUGAGUCUUAAUACGGCUCAUCUGUGACGUUACCUACAGAAGAAGGACCGGCUAACUCCGUGCCAGCAGCCGCGGUAAUACGGAGGGUCCGAGCGUUAAUCGGAAUUACUGGGCGUAAAGCGUGCGCAGGCGGUUUGUUAAGCGAGAUGUGAAAGCCCUGGGCUCAACCUAGGAAUAGCAUGUCGAACUGGCGAACUAGAGUCUUGUAGAGGGGGGUAGAAUUCCAGGUGUAGCGGUGAAAUGCGUAGAGAUCUGGAGGAAUACCGGUGGCGAAGGCGGCCCCCUGGACAAAGACUGACGCUCAUGCACGAAAGCGUGGGGAGCAAACAGGAUUAGAUACCCCAGUAGUCC